UGUAAAUCCAGCAUCAUGGAUCAGGACAGAGAGGAGGGAGUCCCUCCCUCUAAAACCACUCAGAGGAACCAGCCUGGACAUGGACCUGGACCUGGACUUGGACCUGAGCCCAGCUGUUUGUCCUUCAAGAGCGACCGGUCGAAGAAUAUUCCUCUUGAUUUUCAAUCAGAGCCACAGAGAGUGGACCAGCAGAGCUCAGAGCUUCCCAGUGGUCAGUCUGCCCAGCAGCAUCAAACACAGCU